AUACUUCUGGGACUUGCCGAGGUGUUGGAAGCUUCCGUCCGGGAGUUUGCACGCGAGAUGAAACUGGAGAUAGUGUUAAGUUAGCAGCAAGCGCACAACCGGUGAAGGCGUAGUUUUGGAAGCAUCAUCGCGGCCUGGGAACAAAAUAAGGAUCCACCCGACAAGCAGUUAGCCGCAGAAGUCAUCACAGGACUGGACCAGAACAAGGAAGAGGAAGAGGAG